CGGAAGAUAUUUCAUACAGAAAACAACAUUUAUUCAGACAUGCUUUAUAAAGCUACAUGUUAAACCGUGUCAAAAAUGUCUACGGGCGUAUAAACCUUAUCAGUCCAAUUAUUAGUAAGACCAUUUGUACAAUGAAAUAUAUUACAUAACAAUUUUACAAACCUCAACAUACAUUUGCAACUCAGCUACAGCUAUAAGCCAGUUUGAGGGGAUAAAUCUAUUGUUUUUCUACAAUGACGGACCAACCAACCACAAGGAGUGUGUGACAAGAUCAAUAACUUAAAUAUUAAGUAGUUCGUAAGAAAAUGUGUUAUGUGCAAUUUGAUAUUCAAAAUAACAAUAGAUGAAUUGACAUAGUAUCUACUGUUAGACCUAAUAGUACAACUUUAAACUUUAAAAAUAUAAAACAAAUCAUGUUUACAUAUUUUACUUCCUAAAGUCUUGGACAAGGCAUUAUCAUCCUUUUGUAAAGGACAAAUGUUAGGUAGGAACCACAUUUGAGUUCCCAUCAAAAUGAAUCAUAUCCUUCUGUUUCAAUUGGUCAAUACCCAAUACCCUCAAACCAAUGAAGCAGACCAAGGUUAAACCUAAUGCUAAGAUAAAAUAAGAAAAUACUUGACAAAGCAUUAAGAUUUCAUAGCCUUAAAAGCCCCUUUAAAACAAAAUGGAUGCCACUAACUGUCUAAUACCACGGUCCUUCAAUACCACUUAGCUUCUAAGUCUUAGUCUGUUUUAGCACAUAGCAACACCUUGGAGUGCAUUUCAGUGUGAUACAAAUUAUCUGGUCUCUGACUAAAGAGAGAUCUAAAGAAGAGAGGAGAUCAGUCAGGAAGUGGCUAGUUCCUGUGUGCCCUAUUUAUAAGCCAAGUGAACGGGCCUGCUUUCAAGAGCACAGGGUAGAUACAACACAACAUUACUGGGGCUAGGUGAGAGUAGAUACAACACAACAUUACUGGGGCUAGGUGAGAGUAGAUACAACACAACAUUACUGGGGCAAGGUGAGAGUAGAUACAACACAACAUUACUGGGGCAAGGUGAGAGUAGAUACAACACAACAUUACUGGGGCAAGGUGAGAGUAGAUACAACACAACAUUACUGGGGCUAGGUGAGAGUAGAUACAACACAACAUUACUGGGGCUAGGUGAGAGUAGAUACAACACAACAUUACUGGGGCUAGGUGAGAGUAGAUACAACACAACAUUACUGGGGCAAGGUGAGAGUAGAUACAACACAACAUUACUGGGGCAAGGUGAGAGUAGAUACAACACAACAUUACUGGGGCAAGGUGAGAGUAGAUACAACACAACAUUACUGGGGCUAGGUGAGAGUAGGCAUCAUAGGUUCUGUACUCACUUUUACAGUAGCUCAGUAAUCAUACCGCCUACACUCUUAGAAAAAAGGGUUCCAAAAGGGUUCUUCGGCUGUCCCAUAGGAUAACUCUUUCUUGUUCCAGGUAGAACUCUUUGGGUUCUUCUGGGGAAAGGGUUCUACAUGGAACCCAGUAGGGUUCUACCUGGAAUCAAAAGGGUUCUUUCUGGAACCAAAAAGGGUUAUUCAAAGUGUUCUAUUGGGACAGCCGAAGAACCCUUUUACGUUCUAGAUUUUUUUCUAAGAGUGUAGUUCCUGUUUUUGCAAUGUGCAGUCUGAAACCUUUUGUGAAAUGUUAUAUAAACCUAGCCUGCAUAGGUAUUUGCCAAAACAGAGUUAAGGGCACAUUUGCUAUGCAUUUGGAUCUGGUGAAAAGUUUGCACCUGUUUUUAUUGGAUGAAACACCAAAGCUAAAACAGCAAACUGUCUUCAUUUAUACUUGAUAAAUGGUUCACUUUCAGAACCUUUAUUCUUACCUUUUCAUUUAACCUUUUAUGUCCAAUUCCCUAUGGUAAACUUACUGUGCAAUCUUGAUACCUGAUGCAAAGUGCAAAUGUUGAAUAAAUGGGGUCCUUAGCGGUCAGAAGAAGGGAGGCUUGUAAAAUAGGUGUGGUGUCAAAUUUGAUGUACAUCCUGCCAUUGAGAUUUGGACUGGCAGAGCUUGUCUCAGACAUUUUAUAAAAGCCCUGAAUAUUCUUUUAACACUUGGAAAGUAGUUAUUCAAGACAAAUAACUUCUCAAGAAAAUUAUAUUUUCAUGAACUACAUAAACACAACCCACCUCAUACACGAUUACUUCAACUACAUAAACACAACCCACCUCAUACACGAUUACUUCAACUACAUAAACACAACCCACCUCAUACACGAUUACUUCAACUACAUAACACAACCCAUCUCAUACACGAUUACUUCAACUACAUAAACACAACCCACCUCAUACACGAUUACUUCAACUACAUAAACACAACCCACCUCAUACACGAUUACUUCAACUACAUAACACAACCCACCUCAUACACGAUUACUUCAACUACAUAAACACAACCCACCUCAUACACGAUUACUUCAACUACAUAACACAACCCACCUCAUACACGAUUACUUCAACUACAUAAACACAACCCACCUCAUACACGAUUACUUCAACUACAUAACACAACCCACCUCAUACACGAUUACUUCAACUACAUAACCCAACCCACCUCAUACACGAUUACUUCAACUACAUAAACACAACCCACCUCAUACACGAUUACUUCAACUACAUAACACAACCCACCUCAUACACGAUUACUUCAACUACAUAAACACAACCCACCUCAUACACGAUUACUUCAACUACAUAAACACAACCCACCUCAUACACGAUUACUUCAACUACAUAAACACAACCCACCUCAUACACGAUUACUUCAACUACAUAAACACAACCCACCUCAUACACGAUUACUUCAACUACAUAACACAACCCACCUCAUACACGAUUACUUCAACUGCAUAAACACAACCCACCUCAUACACGAUUACUUCAACUACAUAAACACAACCCACCUCAUACACGAUUACUUCAACUACAUAAACACAACCCACCUCAUACACGAUUACUUCAACUACAUAACCCAACCCACCUCAUACACGAUUACUUCAACUACAUAACACAACCCACCUCAUACACGAUUACUUCAAAUGUCAUCAUGGUUUGAUUGGCAAGGAGGACUACAGAGGAAACCAAUCUGUAUCCAUUCAAAAUGUGGAUUACAAAAAGUUGCAGGCACUUCCGACAUCCCCUAAGACUUACUUACUUUUGUAACAUCCUUAAACGUAUCAUUAAAAAGUUUGAUCGGCGGUUGUAAGUAUUCAAGUAAAUAUCCUUGGGAAAGUGAUGAUGAUCAAUGUGGAAUGUAAAAAAAACAAAUUUAAGUACAAAAAGUACAAUCAACCUUCAUUUGCAUGAGAAAAGUGAAAGUGGAAAAAAUUGCACUUAGCUAAAUCUCAGCAGAACACUUGCAUAAAUAUGCUGCAUAAUCAGCCAGAAUAAGAAAACACCUGUCGUCCUUCCAAGCUACUACUUUCCAUCACCAUUAACCAAUACAUUUUCCCUACUUCUCCUUCAUAUUUAACAAUCACCAGCUGUUUCUCUUGGCAGUAUUCUCAGAAUGUUUUGAGUCUUUCAUACGCUUGGCCUGCCUGAGGAACUGGUCUGCUUUCCUCAGCUUCUCCAUGGCUCUGGCUAGCAGCUCCUCCGGCGACCUGUCCUCCAGGCCAUCGCCCCCCGCUAGGGCCGAGUUCUGCCCAACCUCGGUGCUCCCUUUAGGGACAACGCUCCCCAGGAGCUCCCCUGUAUUUUCCAGCUCCAUGGCCAGUUCAUUUUCAAGGUCUGUUAAGUCUUGAGGACCCACGGUGGCCUUUGUCCCGGCCACGUCUGUGAUUCGCUGUUUCACGUUUUCACCCAAUGAGGCCUCAGAGAGGAGAUCCCCCAAAGAGGUGGACAUGAGCUUGGCUAAGGGUUUGAAGGGGAUG
rnacentral:lncRNA from 1 species